rnacentral:miRNA from 1 species
ACUCCCUCUGUCCCUGAUUAUAAG